UGAGUUUUAACGUUAAAUUUACAUACCCCUAGCAUUGUGCGGGAGUCAAAUAAUUUCAUUUUGUAAUUUCAACAUUUUGCAAAUUUUUUGGCAUUAACAGGCGAAUCAUUGCGCAACGCCACCGACAUCAUCAUCAUCUUUGGCAUCAGACUCUUGUGUCCCUAUGGCACCAUUGUAAAAGGACAAUAAUAGUAGACUAAGGACUCUAAAAUCUACCAGCUCCCUCACAAGGAGGAAGGAGGAGGCCAGCGCUAUGAAAUGCCAGCAGUAGGUAUUAAAUUUGUUUGCGAGAAAGUUACCAUUUAAUGGCAACACCAUCAUCACCAUAACCACGAUGAGCCAGAAGGUAUUUAAUGGCAAUUAGAGGAACAGUCAAAAUAACAUCAUGACAUAACGGCUCUAUUUUUCUCUCAAAACAAGCCAAGCAACCGUAGGACAACAGUUACAACAUCAAAGGAUAAACAUCAACUUUGAGUUGCUUUUAAUGGUUGCUGACAUCCAAAGAAGUAAACAGCAUUUCGUUGUAGUUCUAACAUGGCAAGAAGUUGAAUUUGAAGUUAUAGUCGAAGAAAAU
rnacentral:sRNA from 1 species